rnacentral:rRNA from 1 species
AGUAAUGCUUGGGAAUCUAGCUUAUGGAGGGGGAUAACUACGGGAAACUGUAGCUAAUACCGCGUAGAAUCGGGAGAUGAAAGUGUGGGACCUUCGGGCCACAUGCCAUAGGAUGAGCCCAAGUGGGAUUAGAUAGUUGGUGAGGUAAAGGCUCACCAAGCCGACGAUCUCUAGCUGGUCUGAGAGGAUGACCAGCCACACUGGGACUGAGACACGGCCCAG